CUUUCUCGUUUGGGACUCACACAUUCUAUGAAGCCUUCUCCAUGCUCCCAGUGCAAUUCUAGGCACUGGAGGUGGGACAAUGAGGAGGAGAAACCCACUCUCUGCUCCCCUGGGCACUGUGUUCCAGUGAAGAGACAGACAAAAACAAAGAUGGAGAGGAAUGGGGAGAGAGAGAGAGAGAAACUUUGAUGUAAGAGAGAAAAUCGAUUGGUUGCUUCACAUACACACCCAGCCAGACCAGAGACUGAACCUACAACCCAGCUGAGAAAAUUCACAGGACGUGCCCUUCUCAGAGAAAACUACAGGCUGUAAUAAGGGGAAGAAUGAUGGGUUUAAGUAUUACUUCGACAUAAAUACAAGAAUCUUCAACACUGUGCUCAUGAUUGAAACACACUAGUCACGUUGCCCUGACUUGGGAAGAUGAGCAAACCGUACAGAAGUUUCUAGGAAGCCUAGCAUGGGAUCCUUCACUGUACUAGUCAGGGUUCUCAGUUGCAAAUGAUUGAAACAGACUCUAGUCAUGUAAGCAGAAAAGGAAUUUGCCGGCAAAAUAUUUGUUUCUUAUGGGAUUUCUAGGGAGACGGGGGAAUCAGGUUUGCAAUGUGAGGGAAACAAAGAGGAUCCGUGUGGUCAGAAGAAGAGCUCAGGGCACGUCCACCACUCAGUGAGUCCCGAUUAAUGAAGAUGCUGACACAGACACCUAAUGAGCCCUGAUCCUGGCACCACCACCACGGCUGCUCUCCUCUCUGCCGUGGAAAGCCUGUGCUGCAGUCCCAUCACCUGGUCCUGCUUCUCUGAGUCCAUAUCUGGAGACCUCUGAUUAGCCAUGUCAAUCAGGGCUCCUGCUGUAGUUACCAAACGAGGCUAGAAAAGGGAGUCUGGCCCAUUCAGCUUCUGCAGUGACAGCAAGGCUCUGCGUUCUAACCAUACCUUAAACCCGAGGGGAUUCUGAAACCUACAAAUACGGUUCGGAUGCAAGGUCGUUGAAGACAUGCAAACAUUUACUUCUCUCGGGGAAUGAUUAAGAAGAGUAAUGGAAGCUUGGAUGUGUUUUAUCUUACUUUAAUCUUCAUCACCUUUUAAAUCUUCAUCCCUUCUUUUCUAAAAGAGUUUGAAAAAAUCCAACAGCAUUUGGCUAUGUCCCCUCAAAAGUGUAUAUUUGAAAAUAAGUGCCUAUUUAUUUAUUUAUUUUUAAAUUAAAUUUAUUAGGAUAUCAUUGGUUAAUGACAUUGUAUAAAUUUCAGGUGUACAACUUUCGAAUCAUUGUGUUCUUGGGAAGUCAGUAUAUAUACUGCACACUCUUGUGUGCUCACCUCCUGGACUCUAGUCCCCAUCUGUCACCUUGUAUUUGGGUCCCUUGACCCUCUUCAUUCUCCCUCCACCCCCAUCCCCUCUAGUGACUGCCAUUCUGUUGUAUCUAUGAAUUUGUUUCUUUGUUGGUUUUAUCUGUUUAUUGUUACUUUUAGUUUUCUAUCUCACAUAUAAUUGCAUUCCUAUGUUUUAACAAUGAGUUAUCAGAAAGAAAAGUGAAAAGAAAAACAAUAAUCCCAUGUUCAAUUGCACCAAAAGGAUAAAAUGCCUAGGAAUAAAUAUACAAAGUGAAGGACUUAUAUUACAAGACCGUUGAAAGAAGUUGAAAAAGGUACAAAGAGAUGAAAAGAUAUUCUGUGUUCAUGGGUUAGAAAUGUUAAAAUUGUUAAAAUGGACGUAUUACCUACAUAUCAUUUUCCUUGUUUAAGGAGCCAAGACCUGGGAAUAUUAACUGAUUCAGCCACUAUGGAGACAGUAUGGGGGCUCCUCAGAAAAUUAAAAAUAGAACUAUGAUCCAGCAAUUCACUCUGGGCAUGUACCUGAAGGAAGAGGAGCACUGUGAUAAAGAGGUGUCUACACUCCCACGUUCAGGGAAGUGUAUUGACAAUCGCUGAGAUGUGGAAACACCCCUGUGUCCAAGUGUCCAUCAGUGGAUGGAUGGAUGGAUAAGGAAAAUAUUAUACACUUACACACACAGAGGAAUAUUAUCUGACCAUAAAAAUAAGGUGAUCCUGACAUUUGUGAACAACAUGACAAAGAUGAAUUUUAAGAGCUGUAAGCUAAGUGAAAUGAGUCAGACAGAGAAAGGUAAAUACCAUAUGACCUCAUUUACAUGUGAAAUCUGAAAAAAAAAUGACCUCAUAGAAACAGAGAACUGAUGGGUGUUUGCUAGAGGUGGGGGCUUGGGAUGGACAAAAGAAUCCAGGAUCUAAUGUACGAGAGCAUGGUGACUAUAGUCAACAAUACUGCAUUAUAUAUUUGAAAACUGCUAGGAGAGUAGAGCUUUAAAGUUCUCAUCCCAAGAAAAAAAAAGUCAUAUUAUGGGAUAGAUGUUAACUAAACUUACUAUGAUGAUCAGUUAUUACAUUAUGACAUUGUAAUAUAUAAUGAAAUAAUUAUACAACUCACCAUAAUGCAGAAUCAGCGGGAGCCCUGAGCUUGUUUUCCUGUGACUAGAUGGCCUCAUUUGGGGGUGAUGGGAGACAGUGGUACCCAAAGUGUGUUGCUUAUGUCAAGUCUACUCUGUAACCUCAUUUUGGUGGCUGUCCCUACAGAAAACUCUG